AAUCGCUGAAACCGUACUCGUCUAUCUAUACAUGGAGAAGUGCACGAUGCGCGUCCAGGCAAUAUUGUUCCUUCUCGUAUGCUUUGCUAUCUAUUCACAAUGUCGAGGAAUAGGCGUGCAACCUGACUCCCAACACGGAUGCUAUGGUUCUGCAACGUGCUAUAGCUGCCGCCCCUAUGAUAUGUGCUACCCGACAAUGGAAAUUUGCAAAGCCCACUGCCCACCUCCAGACGCAGCUACCUCCUCCGCAUUUCCUCAUUAGCUUGAAGAAUGUACUGGAUGUGUGUUUUCUCAUGAUGAAAGAAGAGCUAUGAAUAAAUAAGAGACAAUGAUAUGUUUUUA